rnacentral:rRNA from 1 species
AUUGAACGCUGGCGGCAGGCCUAACACAUGCAAGUCGAGCGGAUGAAGGGAGCUUGCUCCUGGAUUCAGCGGCGGACGGGUGAGUAAUGCCUAGGAAUCUGCCUGGUAGUGGGGGAUAACGUCCGGAAACGGGCGCUAAUACCGCAUACGUCCUGAGGGAGAAAGUGGGGGAUCUUCGGACCUCACGCUAUCAGAUGAGCCUAGGUCGGAUUAGCUAGUUGGUGGGGUAAAGGCCUACCAAGGCGACGAUCCGUAACUGGUCGGAGAGGAUGAUCAGUCACACUGGAACUGAGACACGGUCCAGACUCCUACGGGAGGCAGCAGUGGGGAAUAUUGGACAGUGGGCGAAAGCCUGAUCCAGCCAUGCCGCGUGUGUGAAGAAGGUCUUCGGAUUGUAAAGCACUUUAAGUUGGGAGGAAGGGCAGUAAGUUAAUACCUUGCUGUUUUGACGUUACCAACAGAAUAAGCACCGGCUAACUUCGUG